rnacentral:lncRNA from 1 species
CAAAAAAUCGUGUGACAUGAAAAGAUUUUGUGUAAGCAGUUGGAAAAAAGAGUAAAAUGUUUGGUGGAGCUCUGCUUGUAGUUCCUGCUGAUGUCCACCAGAGGGCGCCAUGUAACCACUGAACUAUAUGUGGUAAUGCUCUCUGGGCGGUUCCUCUUGUUUCCUGUUCAACGUUUACUUUCACUUUCCAGAGGCUGAUGUGACGCAGCUUUUUCUCUCUGUGUGGAGCUCCAGCUGAAGGACCCAUCAGAGACCAGACCCUGCUGAACCUGAACCUGAACCCAGCUGUGUGUCCAUGAAGAGUCACCGGUCCAUGGAGACACUAGUUUAAAAAAGACCUGUAAGGGAGAGGAGAAUAGAAAUGGAGGAGAGGCUGCUUGAACUGGAGGAGAGAGGAUUGAUGGAGAGACUUGAAUGGCAGAAGGAGAGAAUAACAAUGGAAAAGGAAAUUGAAAUGUUAAGAAGAAGAUUGAGAGAGGACCAGGAGAGCUCAGAGGUUCCCAGUGGUCAGUCUGCCCAGCAGCAUCAAACACACCUGGACUCUAUAUUUAUGGUCUGUACAUGUACAUCAACUACUUUUACAUCUAUUCUGUUCACAAUCAUCUCCAUGCUGCACUU